rnacentral:rRNA from 1 species
AACGAACGCUGGCGGCAUGCCUAACACAUGCAAGUCGAACGAGACCUUCGGGUCUAGUGGCGCACGGGUGCGUAACGCGUGGGAACCUGCCCUUAGGUUCGGAAUAACUCCCCGAAAGGGGUGCUAAUACCGGAUAAUGUCUUCGGACCAAAGAUUUAUCGCCUUUGGAUGGGCCCGCGUUGGAUUAGCUAGUUGGUAGGGUAAAAGCCUACCAAGGCGACGAUCCAUAGCUGGUCUGAGAGGAUGAUCAGCCACACUGGGACUGAGACACGGCCCAGACUCCUACGGGAGGCAGCAGAGGGGAAUAUUGGACAAUGGGCGAAAGCCUGAUCCAGCAAUGCCGCGUGAGUGAUGAAGGCCUUAGGGUUGUGAAGCUCUUUUACCCGGGAUGAUAAUGACAGUACCGGGAGAAUAAGCUCCGGCUAACUCCGUG